CAGACACAGUGGAAGCCAGGGGCACCAGGGCAGCCCCACCCUACAGCGCUGAGCCCAGGCCAGAUGACGCCGCAGGCACUUUCCACAGAUCUCAAAAUCUGAGAAGACCCUGCCCAGUAAAUACCAAAGUUCCCCUGUGUUAAAGUUGAGCAAGAUACAACUUGCCAACUGCUACAGCCAGCCUGGGGGCCACUUUGGUAAGAGAUAGAAAGCUGAGGAUAACGUAAACCUGAGGAUGAAGCAAGCACUUCUCUGUCCCUGACACAUGACACAGCUCGAGCAUCUCAUUUUGUCAUUCCUACCCCCCAGAAAGAAGUCUUUGGCGUGACGACCAAAAAGCUCACGCACCGAAAAGACACAAGUUUCACAAAGUAAUACUUCUUUUCCUGUACACCCUGGACUAUCUGGAUAUGCAGAUGCAGAGGCUGUGAAUGGCCGUACUGUGGGUAUUUUCAAUUCUGUGCUAAUCUACCCAAUUUCUCUAUUCAUCCUUUCAGGCCACAUUCAUUAAUGAGUUACAGCCCUCAUCUUAAAACUCACUACCCACUGGAGGGUCUAAUACAAAUAAGUAAGAUUCCUGUAUGAAAAAUGGGCACUGACAUCUACAAGAGCAAAAAUUUUACAUAGCACUUAUCCAAAAUGGACAAAUGAGUGAAGUGAUAGGAAACUUGCUCUAUGGAAUAUUGCACAUGGAGGGAUGGAAGAAUUAGAGCCGCAUGUAUCAACAGGGAUUAAUUUGGGAAAUGUUGCACUGAGCAAAAGAGAAAACUUGCAAAAUGAUUCUUCCAGCACAAUCUAUUUAUAUAAAGUUUGAAAACAUGCCAAAUGCACUGUCUGUGGAAAGGUACUUAUGUGGUAAAAUUACAUAAAUAUUCAUCAAGCAAUAAACAUAUAAUUCAGGAUCGCGGUUAGCUCUAAGGAGGAAGGAAGAAGAAUGUGGAGGAAGAGCUCUGGUUUUGCUUUUACUUUUUAGCUCUGUAGCAAAUCAGGAAAGAUAGUAAACAGUGCUAAAGCUGCGUGUGGAUGGAUGCACAUUACAAUAGUCUCUGUAUUUUUAAACGUGCAUGAAAUAAAUAGCUCAUGAGUUUUAAGAAGAAAAGCAAAGAAAACCAUCAGGUCCGUUUAGAAAAAAGAAAUCCAGCAGAAUGUGGAACUGUUCCAAGCUCCACCAAAAAAAAAAGUGGUGAGGGUCCUUCCUUGUGAAGUAACUGCCCGCGGGGAAACGUGAGCUCUAGGAAUAGCUUGAAUUCUUAAGAAUAUGUUUCAUUCCUGGAGAGUCCUAGGAAAAGCUGUCAAGAGGAGUUGAUUCUCAUGAAGCGGUUUACGUGGAACAACCAUCGGGAAGGUUAAUCAGUAGCCCUACGUGGGCCCAAAACAUCUUGGAGGAGAAAAGACUUUCGGGUAACUUUCAAGAAGAAAGGAGGUCCUCCUCUUUGGUGCUGUUCGUAUUGUGGUUAAACUGCACAUAACGUCACAUUCACCACUUCACCCACUGUCAAGCACAUACUCCACUGCAAUAAGGGAAUUCUAUGACGUGCAACCAUCACCACUCUCUGUCCUGAAUGCUUUCGUCAACCCCAAAGGGAAUGGGUGUCCAUCAGCAGCACACCCCAACCCCCGUUCCUCUGGCAAUAGCUGACCUGCUUUCUGUCUCCAUGGAUAUUCCUUAUAAAUGCAAUCGCGUGCUCUAGA